UGUUGUCUUUCAUGUACUUGAGAUUUUACAUCUUUAUUUUGUUUGUUUUAUCUAUGCAAAUUUAUGUGUUGUUGAACUUACUGUUCUUGACCCUUUGGCAGGAGAAAGAGUUUAAAGUUGCAGUUCUCCUUAUUUUUGACAAUAAGCAGGAAGUAAAAAAUGUAUGAUAGGAGAUUUGGAGUUCGCUAGAAAAGCUCUGCCUGUAUGAUCAAAGAACACGAAUUCUGGAAUUCAGGACAAGGAACUUGCUUCUAUGAUCGAGAGUGUU